rnacentral:rRNA from 1 species
UGGGGAAUCUUGCGCAAUGGGCGAAAGCCUGACGCAGCGACGCCGCGUGCGGGAAGAAGGCCUUCGGGUUGUAAACCGCCUUCAGGAGGGACGAAGCCACUCGGGUGAACAGCCCAGAGGGUGACGGUACCUCCAGAAGAAGCCCCGGCUAACUUCGUGCCAGCAGCCGCGGUAAUACGUAGGGGGCAAGCGUUGUCCGGAUUCAUUGGGCGUAAAGAGCGUGUAGGCGGCCAGGUAGGUCGGUUGUGAAAACUGGAGGCUCAACCUUGAGAGGUCGACCGAAACCAUCUGGCUAGAGUCCGGGAGAGGAGAGUGGAAUUCCUGGUGUAGCGGUGAAAUGCGCAGAUAUCAGGAAGAACACCCGUGGCGAAAGCGGCUCUCUGGAACGGUACUGACGCUGAGACGCGAAAGCGUGGGGAGCGAACAGG